UUAAUUCAUACAUCUUAUUUAAUUUCUGUUGUUGAUUUAUUUAUUUUUAUUUGAUGUUAAGAUUGAGGGGGAUUAGCUCCUUGUUCUGCUUUUAUAAUUGUCUAUUGUUAAUUUAGUUUUGUGGAUUUUAUGGUGAUUUUCUAUUUGAUUAUGUUAAAAUUUUAUUUGUUCUUUUUUUAAUUUUUUUGUUAUUUAAGUUAUUUAUUGAAAUGUUUUCUUUACUUUUGGUUUGUAUGGUAAUUAUUGUGUAAUUAGUAAAUUUUAUUGGUUGUUUUGUGAGUGCGAGGGUGUUAAUUGCUUUUGAGGAAUUCGGCAAAAUUUUAUGUCCGCCUGUUUAACAAAAACAUCUUUUCUUGUUAGUUUUUGAAGUAUGGCCUGCCCACUGACUGUUAAAGUUGAAGGGCCGCGGUAUUUUGACCGUGCAAAGGUAGCAUAAUCAUUAGUUCUUUAAUUGUGAUCUGGUAUGAAUGGCUUGACGAGACAUAAGCUGUCUUAGAGGUAUUGGUUUAUUGAAUUUGGUUUUUGAGUUAAAAUUCUUAAAUGUUUUUAUGGGACGAGAAGACCCUAUAGAGUUUGACAAUUUUCUUAUUUGUUCGUUGUUUGUUUUUGUUACAUUAAGUGGGAAUAGAUUGUUUUGUUGGGGUGAUGGGAGGAAUAUUAUUUAACUCCUCUUUGUUUUUGUAUAUUUAUUUAUAUUUUUUUGAUCCAUUUAUUUUGAUUAUAAGAUUAAAUUACC
rnacentral:rRNA from 1 species